UACGGGGGGGGGCAAGCGUUGUUCGGAAUUACUGGGCGUAAAGGGCUCGUAGGCGGCCAACUAAGUCAGACGUGAAAUCCCUCGGCUUAACCGGGGAACUGCGUCUGAUACUGGAUGGCUUGAGGUUGGGAGAGGGAUGCGGAAUUCCAGGUGUAGCGGUGAAAUGCGCAGAUAUCAGGAAGAACCACCCGUGGCGAAGGCGGCUCUCUGGGGACGGUACUGACGCUGAGACGCGAAAAGCGUGGGGGAGCAAAACAGG
rnacentral:rRNA from 1 species